UUUGUUGGAGAUCCCAGUGAUGUGUAUGUAAUGUUUGGAAUCGUCUGUAAUUCUAAAGUUGAAAUGAGCCUUCAUCUUCAGUCAUGUAUUUCAUUUUCGUUUAUGAAAUUGGAAGGCUAACUAGUGAAAUAGUUGUUUUAACAUAACUUAACUGUUUAUUAAAAGCAUAUGCUUGGCCAGGCGCGGUGGCUCAUGCCUGUAAUCCCAGCACUUUGGGAGGCCGAGGUGGGUGGAUAACCUGAGGUCAGGAGUUAGAGACCAGUCUAACAUAAUGAAACCCCAUCUCUACUAAAAAUACAAAAAAGCCAGGCGUGGUGGCACAUGUCUGUAAUCCCAGCUACUUGGGAGGCUGAGGCAGUAGAAUCGCUUGAACCCGGGCGGCGGUCUGGCCUGGGCAACAAGAGCUCCGUCUCAAACAAACAAACAAACAAAAACAUAUGCUCAAGUAGGCCGUUAAAAAUCUUGGGCACAUCUGAGUUUAUUCAGUCGUUACACAAAGCCUUUCCUGGAGAUUAGCUCAGAACUGGCAGAACAUAUGCUCUGUUGGUGCCAAGUGGCUUAAAAGCAAAAUGAGAUAGUGUCCACUGUGUAAGAUGAAGUCGUUAUAUUAACCAAUCUUGUUGAGGAAAAUCUUUAAUUUGGGUUAAAAGCAAAAACAUUUAAAGAUUUGAAAUGUUCUCCCGGGAGAUUAUAGACAAGGGGAGGAAGGUUUUACUACUUAAGGAUCUUUUAUAUUUGAUACAGGCACUGAAAUAAUUUCUGAAGUUCUACAGGCAUCUUGACUAAGGUCAAGCUUAGCUCAAGUUAUGCGUUUUCUUUUAGAGAUAGAUGAGAUGUUAAAAUGGAAGGAAAAUGAGUGUUAACUUUACUUAUGUAGGAUACUUUUAAUGUUCUUAAUGUCUUAUAGUUUUCAUAGUAGUUGUUAAAAAUUCGUUAUUGGAAUAGCUUUAUGAACUAUGGAGAACUGGGAAAGUGGAACUCUCUGGGUGUGUAUUCCAUGAAGAAUAUUUGAGGAGGAGUAAAGAGAACAAAAAUACUCAGAGGAGGAAAGAAUUUAGCUGAAAAUACAUUGUGCAGACUCAUACUGGUUAAUACCCAAGGGGGAAAAAAGCUUGAUUUUUAUUUGCGGAUUAGUGUCCAGCCAGUAGGAUGAAUUUAAAAGGAAGAUUUUUUUUAUCAUUUCAAUAUUACUUUUUCCCGGUAGAAGUUGGAAAACGUUGCUGAUAUUCUUUUGAAGUAGAUUGGAGAAAUAGUAGGAUAUUUGAACAACACUUUAUUGGAGAAGAGAUAUUUAUUCUUAAGAAAACAUUGAGUGAUUGUAAACAUGUUUGAUUUCUUGCUAUUAGCUGACACGUAAGCUUUUCUUUAAAUACAUUUUAUGUUUUAAGAGCGUUAUUUUAGUCCAAAAAGAGGAUGAAUAGUGGCGUUAGUCAUUUCCAUCAUAGUUAAUAAGAAGUUUUACUGCUCCCUGUGUAUAGACUUAAUCAUAUUAAAGUAACAUGUCAGAUGGGCAUGAAGAAUUGUCUAGUAAUUGCAGUAGGUUGCCUAAGAGCUAUUGACACUGCUUUCUGACUUGGAAUUUGUUGCUAACAAUACGUAUUUCUAAAAUGCAUGUGCCUUGUAAAGGGUACAGUGUUGAGAUUUAUCCUUGGGACUGGAAGGGAGCUCUGAGUUUCUUACUCAUUUCCUUUAUUUUACAGAUGAGAAAAUAAAGGCCUGCUAAGAUGAAAAGACUUAAAGCUAGUCUGCAGCUAGUUAAAAACAGUCUGUGGUUUGGCCGAGAGGUUUCUUUCGUGAAGAUGCUAAUUUGCCUCUUUUUUUAGAAGAAGCCUUAUGGAGUUGUGGAAAUAAUAUUGAAAUAUAAGUGAGAAGGCCUGGGUUCAAAUUCUUGAUUUAUCACUUCCUAACAGUGGGUUUUGAUGUAUCACAUUAACUUUAAGAACCUGCCUUCUGUCAGCUGCAACUUAAAAGGAAAACCAAAAAGAAAAAAAAGAACCCGGCCUUCUUAACCUGCAAAAGUAAUUUUCCUGCAUAAUUUAGUGGUGAUGUGUGGAACAUUUAAAUGAGAAUACUUUAGGAAGCACGUUAUAUACUUGUAAACUUCUAUACACUGUGGUAUGUUGUUUUUAAAGAAAAUACAAUUCUUGAAGUGUAACAAGGUGUUUAGAUCACUGGGUUUUUGCGUAGCCCUAGCUUUAUUGUUUUCAUCUUUUGCUGUUUUACAGAUUAUAACUCCUGUAGAUACAUUUUCUGAUCUCCACGUUGUUCUAACUGUAGUUAAGCCGCUUAUGAACAUUUUAAAUAUUGGAGUUGUCAGUCUGACUUUCCCUGGAGGAUAUGAAGUUUCUUUAUCUUUGAAAAUACUUUCAUAUAUAUUCAUGCAUUCAUAAUCUGUUUCUGUAACAGACAGUGGCUUUUUAAAAGUAAUAGUGAAAGUAAUCUUAGUAGCAAUGUUCAUUUGUCUCUUGCUAGUUUCCAGAUAUGCAAAAGCAGGAGAUAAUUUCCUUUAAAAACUCCACUUUGGUAGUGCAUGUUAAGGUCAUCUGGUAUAUCUAAAAUAUUUAGAAAUGUUAAAACAGUUUUUGUUUGCUUUUGCUGUUAAGUUUGAAAACCUUUUAGUGCUUUAAAUUGAUAAUCCUGGAAACCAGCAUCAAUACUGUGUUACAUAGAUUAUCAGAGUUUUUAUAGUCUUAAAAAUAAAGGUACUAAUAAUCAUAGAUAAUAUUUCCUGAACACUUAGAAUAUGCAAGUCUCUGUGUUUUAAGUGAAACAUUUCGGGUAAUUUUCAUAAUAACCUUGUAAAAACAGAGAGGAAACUGAGGCUAUGAACAAUUAUGUGAUGUGUAAAGAUUACACACUAAAUAACAGAUUUCAUUGCCCUAUUUCUUAACCAUUUCUCUGCAGUCCCUCUAAGAAUGUUUAGUUGGUUUUUGAAGAGUUUUAAGGCAGUGUUUCUUAAAUUUCAGAUUUCAUCAAAACUGUUUGGGGGCCAGCUAUUUUACCUUAUUUGGGGUGGUCAAAAAAGAAAAGAAGUUCCUUAUGGGAAUCAUAGAACAUAGACCAGUAAGCCCUUUUAUGAGAUGCUGAUAUACUUGUUGCUGUGGUGGCAGUGGUAUUUUCAUGUUAGUUCUGUCAGAGCACAUUAUUCUUACCAGCUACAAAAAGGUCUAUAGUUGUUCGUAUAAUAUGAGACUAUCCUAACAGAUUCCACCUUGCUGUUCAUAUCAUUCUUCUGAAGAGAUGUACUUUUAUCACAGUGACUGAAGAAAAAAGAUAAUGAAACUCAUUUAGGACUUUCAUAAGAGAAUAGAUCCUGCAAUAGAAAAUUUGCUGAGUUUGUCCAGGUUUAGAAAAUAGUAUCCAAGACCUGGUUUUCUGAUUAGUGUGAGCCUCCAAAAUUCUAAGAAACUUAAAUUCAAACAUAAGUCCUUAGAAAAUUAAGUUUUAACAUGGAGAUGCUUGCGACUUAAAGGAGAUAGAUUAUGAAGCCACAAGUUACAGGGUAGAAGUCAUUUCAUUUUCUUUGGCUUUAAAAAAAUUACAAAAAUUAUAAAAAUUGUGUCAUCUUUGGUCAGUUCCUUAAUAUCUGUUUAUUGGGGGCUAAAAUUCUUUCAACAUACAUAAUAGUUCACCUUUCUAGUUAUCAGUGUGUAUUCAGGCCAUAACUGGGAAACAUAAUACAAAUGUUAGCAAUAAGUACAUUUUGAUUUCUGUUAACUAUCUUAUUUUGACAAUAGAAGAUUAAUAGUCUCUAAUAAUAUGCAUAAAGAGAUUGGCAAAUUGUCACCCUUUUAAAAUAAAUAAUGGGUUUUUUUCUUUGUUUUUGUUUUGUUUUGUCUUAGAGCUAAGAUCUUGCUAUGUUGCUCAGACUGGUCUCAGUCUUUAACUCCUGACCUCAGCCCUUCUGUUUCAGCUUCCAUAGUAGCUGGGAUUACGGGUCUUAGCCACCUUGCCUGGCUAUAUAUUCUCUUCUUGUAACGAUAGCAAAGAGUAUAGUAGAGCUCUAUAGCUUCUCAGAUUUCAGAUUGUUCCUCUGACAGAGGAAUUUUGUCAGCAUUCUGACUUCUAAUUAAGAACAAAAACCAUGUGUUUCUCUUUCUUCUACUUAGGAAUAACUAUAUUGACUCAAGAUAAAGGAACAAUAGUACCUUAAAAAUUACAGUGCUUUGUAAUUCAAACAGUACUUUUUACAUCCGAUUCUCUUUUGAAUCUUACAGCUCAAUGAGGCUAAAACAAGGAUUCUCAGCUAAUCUGAUGAUACUGAGCCGUGGAUUGAAUUCAGGUUAAAAUUAUCUGGAGUUAUGUUAGAGUUCUUUGAAAUUGACUCAUGAAAGAGAAACAUUAGCAAACAAAGGAAGAGAAAGGAGAGACAUGCACUUUUAUUUUUCUCCCACCAAAUUCAUGUUGUACAGAACUUUCUACUCUGUUUACCUCUUCUGAAACAGAAGUCCUUAUACAGCUUUAAUCAUUAGUAGGAAUGGGCCAGGCCCAGUGGCUCACACCUGUAAUCUCAGCUCUUUGGGAGGCUGCGGCUGGCAGAUCACUUGAGGUCAAGAGUUUGAGACCAGCCUGACUAAUGUGAGGAAACCCCACCUCUACUAAAUAAUACAAAAAAUUAGCUGGGUGUGGUGGCACAUGCCUGUAAUUCCAGCUACUCAGGAGGCUGAGGCAGGAGUAUUGCUUGAACCCAGGAGGCGAAGGUUGCGAGCCACUGCACUCCAGCCUGGGAGACAGAGUGAUACUGUCUCAAAACAAACCUAAAUAAAUAAAAAUUAGUGGUAGUGGUUAAUUAUGAUAGAGACAAUCAGAUAAGAAAAAAUUUCAGCAGGGCCUGAUGGGUCAUGCCUGUAAUCCCAGCACUUUGGGAGGCUGAGGCUGGUGAAUCACCUGAGGUCAGGAGUUCAAGACCAGCCUGGCCAAGAUGGUGAAACCCCAUCUUUACUAAAAAUACAAAAAUUAGCCAGGCAUGGUGACGGGCACCUGUAAUCCCAGCUACUCUUGGGAUGCUGAGGCAAAGAAUUGCUUGAACCCAGGAGAUGGAGGUUGCAGUGAGCCGAGAUUGUGCCACCGCACUCCAGCCUGGGCAACAGAGAGAGACUCCAUCUCAAAAAAAAAAGAAAAAGAAAAUUCCAUAACAAAACCUACCAUAAUUUGCACAAGAAUAUUGUAACUAGGAAUAGAGCCUUGGCUUGCAUUCCAGUGUUCCAUGUUAGUCUUGGAACCUCUGAGUUAAAAUAAAUCCUUUCGACCAGAGUUUCUCACUACCAGGAAGUUACUUGGUGAUCAAGAAAAAGAACUUCUGUUGAGCUUCUGUAUACUAGGUACUAUUAGAUACUUUCAUAUAUGUUAUAUGUGAGUGCAGAUAUCUUAAAUAGUUAAGAAAACACUUCAAAAAACUGUCACUGGAAUACCUCUAACUCAAUCUUUUUUAUUGCAGAACUGAGUUGAAAUUUAUGUUACAUAACUGUAAAUCUGUUACUUUGAGAAAUUUUUUCUUAAGAUCAGUCCAGUUCACUAAUAUAUUUAUAGUUGAGGUGAUCAUCCGGUAGUGGUUAUUCAGCCUUCAGAAAUUAUGCUUACCUUCCAAGAUUUGUGGAAACCUUUCAAGAGUGAAGAGGAUUAUCUUUUUUUUUUUUUUUUUUUUUUUGUUUUGAGACAGAGUCUCACACUGUUACCCGGACUGGAGUGCAGUGACAUAAUCUCGGCUCACUGCAACCUCUGCCUCCUGGGUUCAAAUGAUUCUCCUGCCUCAGCCUCCUGAGUAGCUGGGAUUACAGGCACCUGCUACCACAUCUGGCUAAUUUUUUGUAUUUUUAGUAUAGGUGGGGAUUCACUGUGUUGACCAGGCUGACCUUGAACUCCUGACCUUGUGAUUUGCCCACCUCAUCCUCCAAAGCUCUGGGAUUACAGGCGUGAGCCACUGUACCCAACUGAGCAUUCUCUUUAAGCUACCGUUGAGUAUGGCCAAACGACAACAACCAAAAAUACUCUGUUUACCGUGUUUCUGUUUGUCCUCAUCUUAUUGAAAGUAAGCAAGAAUGGUUGACAGCAAAUUGGCUUACUCAUUCUUCCCUUUACUUUAUUCAUUUUCUGCUUUUGAGGCUCCUCCUCUUCCUUCAGGCACUAGCACUCUUUCUCUGAAAACCCCAGUCAAAAUUAAUCUGUACUUACAUAGAUACUUAUGUACCUAUAUUUGUGUUAUUAAACUUAAAAAUUAUAUUACCACUUUCAUUUUACAUUAGCUAAUGCAUAAGGAAAUAGUAAUUUGCGUUUUCUCUACUGUGACUUGACACAUAUAUUCUUUGGCCAUUUUUCUCUCUUUUUUCUUACUCAAAAUUUCUAGGAGUAGCAAUCCAUAAUUUACACAAAUAAUAUUUUAACAUUUUUGUUAGGGUUUUACAGCAUGCAAUUAUUGUCUGCUGUUAUUUAAAAACUAAUAAAAAGGUCGUUAAUUCUCCAACCUCCUUAUGCAUAAUCUUUAUAUAUUAGUGAUUUUUACUCUUCUGUAUAUUACAAAUAUAGCACCAUUGGCCCUUCACAAACCCCAGAAGAAAUUGGCUGUCUCCAAAGUACUACUGCCUUUUUGGGGUGAUUACUUUUUAUGUUCUUCUAUUAUUCCAUUCACACUCCUACUCUAAGAAUUUCUCCUGCCUGUAGCUUUUGUAAACUCAGAUGUUAGGGUGGGAGUAGCAGCAAACAGAGUCUUUUGGCCAUGGGGAAACAUGUAGUCUCACACUUGAGUCAUAUUCAUUAUGAAGUGCUAAUACUGGUAGAGGUAUAAUUACAAAUACUCUAUAGUUGAUCAUAGGUUCUCCAUAUGAGGGUUAUCUGAUUCCUAUUUUGCAGCUCUAAAGUUCAAGUUAAAUCAUUUAAAGUUACACCCGUCUAGUAAGUGAUGGUGACUGUAUUGCUUCCUUUCAAAACUGUACCUUCAAAGAUGACAUUAAAAGAAAAGAUGAAAUGAUAAAUUUAGAAACUUUGGGGGGAAAAUAUGUAAUUUGUAUUAUGAUUAUGGAUUUUUACAAAGAGUAAAAAGUAAAAAAUCUUGAAGUAUUCAGUCUGAAAAUGGGUUCUUGAAUUUGAAAGUGUUUGGAAUUUUUCUUCUUUUAUUUCUGAAUUUUCCAGUUUUACCACAAUGAGUAAGUAUCGUAGAUAGAAUGAAGUUUUUGUUAAUUUUAUUUUUAAAUAUGGGUUCUUGCUCUGUUGCCCAUGCUGGAGUGCAGUGGUGCCUUCAUAGCUCACUACAGCCUCAAACUCCAGGGCUCAAGAAUUCUGAGUUUGAAAGUAGCCUGGCCAACAUAGUGAGACUCCAUCUCCAUAAAAAUAAAAAUGUAAAAGCCUACCAAAUACAUGCUUAUUCUUUUGGAUUGAUGUUGGAGUUUUCAUGUCACUUUCUACAGCUAUUAGAAUACAGUGAAAUUACUCCGUUCUGGCUCUUCUCAUCAGCAUUCUUCUAAAUGGUUUUGGUCAGAAGAGCUACCAGUGGUAUAUAAUACUACAUAAACCAGUUAAAAGUGUGUUUUUCUUUGAAUGCCCUGGAAUAUGCAAUUGUUCUGAAAUCUAGUAUAUAUUAUAGGAGGUAGCUUUAUGUUGGAGAGUAAGCAGGAUAAAGAAAAAGGUAGCAGAUCAAGACUAAAAUGCCCAAACAAUUGAGUCCUGGUAUAAAGUCAUGGAAGUGACAGUUUUAAUCUGUAAUUAAAGCAGUGUUAUCACCCAACAUGUUGUUGGGUCAGGGUGAAAAUGAUGUUGUAUGUAAGUUAGAAAUACUUUAUUAUUUGUAUUGCUGUCUUGUACUGAUUUCAACUCCCCAUAACUGCAUCAAGAAUUGGGGUAUAGUUUUUAGGAUCUCAGGCUUAUAUUGCAGAAGCAGUGUAGCAUAAACUAUUCUGGUUUCUUAAUGACUUGUCCCAAUAUCAUUUAUCUAACAUACCACUAUUAAAACGAUAUCUAUAAGUAAUUAAAAGGCCUUUCAUUUAAGGCUAAAAUGUGUGUCUAUCAUUUUUAGAGAAAGCAGUAAAAGUGAGAUAGGGCACUUUUGGGGAUUAAGCUGUGAGUAAUACUUAGAAUAGUACCAGCCUUAUUUAUAAUUGUUAUGAUAUGUCGUGACGAUUGACUGCAAUAGCUAUACUUUGGAGGGGGCCGCAGAGGGGGCAAAAAAUAAAAUAUAAAAAAAUUAUUUAGAAUAUUUUAGGUAAUUUAACAGGUACAAAAAAAUAGCCUGAUGAACUUUCCCUUUUCUCUGGACCUAUUUAAAUCCUUUUAUUUCUAAAUGGUUCAUCUCAAAUGUGACCUAUUCAAUGAAGCCUGACCUCUUCCAUCUUAACUCUGUUGCACAUUGUAUAUAGCAGUGUGAGCAGUGUGACUAGAGGAGUUGAAAAUAAGAUUUCUGCAUGAGGUAGAAAUGUACCUAGAAAUCUAGUGAAAGCCAGACAUCCACACUUCACUCUAUGCAGAACAAAACAGAUAAAGUAGAUUUGAGAGGAACCAAACAAAAUAUCAUUUUAGGAAGAUUAGUCUGGUUGGUAGCAGCUGUGUGGAGCAAUAGGUCUAAAAGGAAGUAGUGAAUUGCCAACUCAUUUUGAUUGACUCCCCCCGCCCCUUCCCCCGUAGUUACUUUGUGAAAUUUUACUUUGCCUUCAAACAGUUCAUCAUUUUGCUAGAAGAGAAAUUAGAUGGCAGAAUUUUAAAUUAUGGGUGUUUCUAGUUUUAAGGAUUUUAGAAUUGUUUUAGAACCUGUAGGCUUUUUCUCUGUUGACAGUGAAGUGAAUACAGUGGCUAUUAGAUUUCCACUUUUCAGCAUUCAUAGUAUUUUCUGCUCCCAGUGCCAGAAAAGCAAGUAAAGCAGCCUAACCAUUUUCUCUUGAGCUGUUGCAGCCCUCUACUGGUUUAUGGAAGUUGCAACAAUUUAGAACCUGUUAGGGCCAAAAGAUCAGACAACUCAGUAACUCAUUUAAAAAAUCUCAGACCCGGCCGGGCGCUGUGGCUCAAGCCUGUAAUCCCAGCACUUUGGGAGGCCGAGGCAGGUGGAUCAUGAGGUCAAGACAUCGAGAUUAUCCUGAUCAACAUGGUGAAACCCCGUCUCUACUCAAAAUACAAAAAAUUAGCUGGGCACGGUGGCGUGUGCCUGUAAUCCCAGCUACUGAGGAGGCUGAGGCAGGAGAAUUGCCUGAACCCAGGAGGCGGAGGUUGCGGUGAGCCGAGAUCGCGCCAUUGCACUCCAGCCUGGGUAACAAGAGUGAAACUCUGUCUCAAAAAUAAAAAAUAAAAAAAAUCUCAGACCCUUAGAAGUCAUCUAUGCCAACCCUCUCAACUGAAGAUGAAUACUUUAUAUACCUUCCAUAACAAUUCUGGAGGCGGGGGAGGUAUAUAAAUACACACACACACACAUUUGUAUGUAUAUGUAUAAUUGUAAAUAUAACUGCCCAUAUUUAUUUACAAACUCUAAAUGUAUUGUUAGAAUGUGAUCCUUUAUAAUCAGGUGUUUUACAUUGUCAUAAAACAUCUCUUUAAUGUCUUUUAUAAAUAUUAUCUAAUGAAGUAAUGAGAAUUUUUUAAAGAUUUGAGAUAUUUAUUACUAUUAGAAGAUAAAUACAACAGAUAAAUGCUAAUUGCUUAUUUAAAUUAUUUGCAAAGCAAUUUUACUUCUUAUUUAUUGCUGGAGCCAGAAUGUUAGGUUUCAUUCUAGCCUUCUUGUUGUUUACUCUUCCACCACCACCCCUGUGCCCCUCUCGUUGCCACCAGCCACAAUCUAGUCAUUAUGCUUUAAGUGGUCUCCUUGUGUCUUCGCAAAUUCCUCUUAAGUCCAUGUUUCAGAGUUUCACCAAGGGCAGCUUUCUGAACACACUGCUGGAAUUAUGUCACUACUUUUUUAGAAAACUUAAAAUUUUGUUACCACAGAGAACAGACUACCAAUGACAAGGGACUUCAUGAUGAGAUCCCUUCCUACUUUCUUCAGCCUCAUUUUCUAUCCUACUCUGCUUCAGUUUUUUGCCAAUCCGUCAUUGUGGUCUGCUUUUGUGUGUGGCCAUGUGUGCACCCCUGUGCAUAUGUUUAUAUCUACCUGCCUCAGAAUCAUCCUCAAAACUUAUUUUAAUGUUUCCUCUUCUUGAAAUUCCCUACCCCUACCUCUGUACAAAUGCACCCAGGUUGGGUGCUUGCUUACAUUUAUUAUUCUGCAUGAUAAUUACAUUGUCUUUUUCCUGUUAAAGACUGUCAGUUCCCUUCAGGCUAGGAUUGUGUUAUGUUCAUCUUUGUUCCAUUAUGUGACAUAUAGGUGACAUUACUAAAUGUUAAGUGAUAGAAUAAUUGCAUGAGCAAACUGGGAUAUAGCUAAAGGAAAUACCCACAGUUAAAUAAGUUAACAUCACAGACUUAAUUUACUUUUGUUGAAGUUUUAAGGAUAAUUUAUUAAGACUAGUGCUUAUUGAACAUACUUUUCUUAAUGUCUACAUUAAGGAAAGUGAUGGUUGGGGGAGAUAAAGAAUGGUAGUUUAGAAUUGGAAUGGACAUCAUUUUAAAAUGAGGAAACUGAAAGCCACAGAGUUUACUAGAAAUUUCAAGUUACAACUAGAACCCAUCUUCUUUUUCACUUUACUGAUUUUCUUCUAAUAUAUUUUGCCUAGAUUUGGCUAGGAUUAGUAGAUAUUGGUUGUUAAUAUUUCAGGCAAUUGGACUAUCUGAAUGGAACUCUUUCCUGUAGGUUUACCUUUGUGGAAUUUUGAAAGUAAUAAUACACAUAUAGCUAAAGCAAAUUGACUAUUUGUAAUUUUUUUUUUUCAUAGGCAGGGUCUCACUCUGUCUCCCAGGCUGAAGUAUAAAGGUGCUGUCUGAGCCCACUGCUACUUCUGCUUCCUGGGUUCAAGCAAUUCUCCUGCUUCAGCCUCCGGAGUAUCUGGGACUACAGGCAUGCACCGCCACGCCCAGCUAAUUUUUGUAUUUUUGGUAGAGACAGGGUUUCACCAUAUGUUGGCCAGGCUGAUCUCAAACUCCUGACCUCAGGUGAUCCACCCUACUCGGCCUCCCAAAGUGCUGGAAUUUCAGGUGUGAACCACUGAGCCUGGCCUGUAAUGUAUUUAUUUUGCAUAGUCUUCUGAAUUCUCUCUCAUGCUCAGAUUCCUGAAAGGUGUAACAUUUAGCAGCACCAACCAAAAGAAACCUCUGUUUACUGGAUUGAGUUUAUGUCCUAAAUCUUUUGCUUCUUUCCCUAUUCUGGUAGGGAAUAAAUGUAAAACAUGUAGAUACCUUUUAUCUCUUUUCCUCUACCGCUAUCUGAAACACUGUGAUACCUGCUGUCUCAUGUAUUAUUUCCUCUUGAGUUCUAACCAGAGCGCUGUAGGUCUCCAGAGCAAACCAAGUAGAAAUGGACCUAUGUUAUUAUUUUCAAAAAAUUUUUGUUUGCUGAUAAAAGCAAUACAUGUCCAUUCUAAAGUUAAAACUUUAGAGAACUCUAUAAAAUAGACCAUAAAAAUGCCUCAAGAACUUUUAAGAACAUUGUUUUAAGGACAUCGUUGGACAGGUUAUUGUAAAAGAUUGUAGAUGCCUGUCCUUUUAUUCUUCAUCUUUUGCAUGUUGUUGGUUAAAUUUCGUGAUUUAAAAAAAAAAUGAUGCUAAUUUCUUGAUCUGGAAUGCAACCAUUAGAUUCUUGUGGAAAAAUGUUAUGGAGUAACUGCCAGAAAACAUUGUGGUGAAAAUCAACCGUUUCUUACUGUAGGAAAAUAUGAUAAAGAGAGCAUGUUCCCUUUUUAAAGACUAAAUUCUCACUUGAAUGGCUUAAAUAAUUAAGGCAGGGAGGGAAGUCCAAUUAAUAUCUCAGAAGCAUGACUAUUUAUUUUGAGACUUUUUUCAAUUUUUUUUCAAAACCAGUUUUAAAAUGUGAAGGAAUUAAGCUGCUUGUUUGGUUUAAGUAGGAAUUACUUAGUGUUUAUGUCUAAUAGUUUAUUCUUUGCAUGUGAGGAAAACAGCAGUAAGUAGAUCUAAUAAUUUAAGGUAUUUUUGCAUUCAUAGAGAAAUAUUAGAAUUUGGAGUGAAAUUAUUCUAAACCUCUUAUUCAGGAAUCAGAAUUUUGGAAGGAGAGGAUCUUAAACCUCAUCUAAUCUAAUUUUAUUUUCAAGAAUAGGAAACAGAAAUAUUGAGAACUGAUGAAGGUCAACCAAAAAGUCUUUGAUCUCACAAUAGAAUCUUGGACCUCAAGCUCCCAGAUCAAACUACAUAAAAAGUGAUGGUCACUUUCCUAACUGAACAACCCUUAAGGACCAUUGAAAGUUGUUACUGUGAUUUGGUCCUUUACUAGUUGUAUUUUUUCUCAAAUCAAUUUUGAAGAAAGCAUUUUUUGCCCUGAAAGCAGCGUGGAAGCGGGAGCUGAAAUAAAGUUAGGAAUUAGUUUCCAUACUCAAGAGUUCUCGCUUUACUUUCUUUAGGUAGAAUACAAAGUGGGUGGUAAGUUUGCAUAUUUUAUAUGCACCAGGGUCUAUGGUAAGAUAGAAUUUCAAUUACUUCUCAUAGCCUUUUUAUUGAACUUUAUCAUUUUGUUGUAUAGAUGAUGAAAUUAAGUGAUUUAGGCCAGGUGCAGUGGUUCAUGCCUAUCAUCGCAGCACUUUUGAGAGGCCAAAUAAGAGGAUUGCUUGAGGCCAGGAGUUUGUGGCUAGCCUGGGCAACAAAGCAAGACCCUGUCUCAAUAUUUAAAAAAACAAAAAGAAAAAAAAUCAGUAAUUUGUACUUUGCUCUCAGUUGUAUUUAACCUAAAGUACAUGUUUUAGGGACUUCUGGACAAAAGGGUAGACUGUAGAUACCCCCUUCUUUUUCAAAUAUAUGAAAAUGCUAAGUAAAAAUAAAACACUUAAAGAAAAGGGAAUCUGCAGGUGCCUGAAAAGAAAAAACACAGUCAUAACAGAGAACAGAAGUUGAAGCUCUGUCCUACAGGGAAAAUGAAAAGAUACCUUUAGUGUGUGAGCUUUAAUGUACUUGUGGAAUCCAUAGGCCCAGGAAUGGCAGGAAACCGAGACUGGGCUCCUUGAGUAAAAGCCCAGACCAGGAGGACUCUCAAAUAUUCAUAAAUAGGGCCUUAAAAACAAAAAGUCAUCUACCAGCCUGGGUUUAUAUUUCCAGGUAUAUCUUCUUCCUGUCUUUUUAUUUUCACCGUUUUUGGUCUUCUUUUGUGGUCUAUUUUUCUUUUAAGUAUAUUGUUAGAUUCUCUUUAUCUACUCUUACAGACUCUUGAUUAGUGAGGUUCAUUUAUUGUAGUAACACAUAUAUUGGAAAUUAUUUACAUUCUGUUUACCACACUUAAAUUUUUUUUCUGCCUUCCGUCACAUAGAUUGAAUGUUUGUUUUCAAAGGCAUCCAUUUGAUUUAUUGAGACCUUAUGUUUCUAUUCAUUUUCUACAUCUUUCUUUUUAAGUGUACAUCAUGUUGUUUUAUUAUUAUUUGCUUUUCAUGUAGAACUCAGCAGUUUACAUCCAAAUCUAGCCAGAGCCCUUCACUGCCAUGAUAGCUGGGGUUUCACCAGUCUGUCUACUGUGAUGAUCUGUAGACUUCUGGUUGUAUUUCCCUAUUUAUUUUCAGUAUACUUCUACAGCUUUUUAAUUUUAAUGUAUAUUUUCCCUCUAAACCAGAUAAGUUAUUUCAGUGCUUUCUCACUUUCCUGUGGGCUUCUUCCCUCUCCUCAACCCUUACCCUAUCCCAGGGGCCAUUUUGAUAGAGGUAUUCUUUUAUACAUUUGUCCUGACUCUUUUUGUAUGAAAUAGACUUAGUAGAUUAUAAACUCACUCUUACUCCCAUAUAUUACAUAAUGUCCUCAUAUAUUUCUUUUCAAAAAUUUUUUUUUGUAAAGACAGGGGUCUCACUAUGUUCCCCGGGCUGGUCUCCAACUCCUGACAAGCAGUCCUCCUACUUCAGCCUUCCAAAGUGUUGGAAUUACAGGUGUGAUCCACUGUGCCCAACCCAUAGAUUUAUUUAUAUUAUUUGGGUACCUACUCAAAAGCAGAUUUUAUUUAAACAGUGUAUCUAUAUGUAAACCUUCUAAAGCCUUUUUAUAACUGAAAAUGUUUUUAGUUAACCUUCACGUAUAGCUGAUAGCUUACUAUCACCAAUAACUUAGUUUUAGUAAUGAUUUUGGUUUGAAAUACUUACCUUUAACAUUUUAAGAAUAUUAUUACAUUGUUUUCUUAUCUCUGAUGUUACUUUGGGGAAGUUCUGAUGUCAAUUUGAUUUCUUUGCCACUCCAGAACAUUUUGAAAUAUUUUGUGUUUUUCAGUUUUAUUAUUAUGCGUCUGAGUAUAGUUCAUUUUCCUGUUUGGCGCUUGGAUUCAUGUUUACUCACUCAUUUACCAAAUAUUUGAUUUGUUAGGAGCCUGCUGUGUAACCCAGGAUGUAUUUCAGAUACUUUAAUCUGAGUUCUUUAACUUUGUCUCAUUUGGAGGAAAUUAUUGGUUAUUGUUUCAAAAAUUUUUUUUCUCCAUUUUCUCCCAGGAUGUAUUCCAGACACUUUAAUCUGAGUUCUUUCACCUUUUCUCAUUUGGGGGAAAUUAUUGGUUGUUGUUUCAAUUUUUUUUUUUCUCCAUUUUCUUCUCUAUGGGAAUUCUGUUAUAUGGAUUUUUGUCACUUCUAACUUCUCUGUGUCUCUUAACUUUCCAUCUUUCCUGAUGUCUUCUGGGACUGUCCUCUCUACUUGAUCUUGUAGUUCACUAAUUCAUUCUUUGGCUUAUCUAUUACGUACCUAAUCUGAAGAGUUCUUUAUUUCAACCCAUGUAUGUUCAUACUCUGUAUUGGUUCUUUUUUGUGACUACUUAGUUCUGCAUGUUAUCAAUCUUCUAGCUCUAAGGAUUUUAAAUGUUUCAAAAAAACUUCAUAUGUCUUUUCCAUUAAUUCUGCUUUGUAUAUAUAGUUUAGUUUGAAUGGGAAAACAAAAAAACAUUUAAACAAGGCAGUGAGAUAAUUUGAUUUUCAGUUUUAAAAGAUUACUCUGUGUCUGGGCACAGUGAUUCACGCCCAUAAUCCCCCAGCACUUGGGGAGGCUGAGGUGGGAGGACGACUUGAGCACAGGAAUUUAAGACCAGUCUGGGCAACAUGGCAAAACAGUGUGUCUACAAAAAAAUGCAAAAAUUAGCUGGAUGUGGUGACAUGUGCCUGUAGUCUCAGCUACUUGGGAGGCUCAAGUGGGAGGAUCAAUCACUUGAGGUCGAGACUGCAGUGAGCCAUGAUUGUGCCACUGCACUCCAGUCUGGGCUACAGAAUGAGACCCUGUCUCAAUAAGUGAUUGAAUGAUUACUCCAAGUCAUAUGCCUGUACUCCCAGCUGCUUGGUUGACUGAGGUGGGUGGAUCGCUUGAGCCCAGGAGCUUGAGGGAGCCUGGGCAACAUAGUGUAACUAGUCUCUUAAAAAAAAAAAAAAAAAAAAAGAAAAGAAAAGAAAAAAACCACUCUGGCUGCUGCCUGUAGAAUGGGGUGUAUAUAAGGUGUGGAGGCAGUGGCAAGAACGUAAGCAGGGAGAUCAUUUGGAAAGUGUUUGCAGUAGUCUAUUCAAGAGAUGAUGGUGGCUUGGAUUAGGAUGAAUAGGAUGGUAGCAAGUGAGAUGGGAAGACAUGAAUUUAAUUUGUGGUAUAUUUUAGAGAUGGCAUCAGCAUUUCUGAAUUUCUGGCAUAAGUGGUGGAUGGAUGUUGGUGACAUUUAUUGGAGUAGAGAAGACUGACAGAAAAUCAAGAGUUCUCUGUAGUCCUUUUUGGUUGGUUAUGCCUGUAAGAUAUCCAUGUGAAGAUGUCAAGUGGAUAUUUACGUAUACAGAUGUGGAGUUUUAGAGAAGGUCUAGGACUAGAAAUACAAAUUUGAAAAUCAAUGGCAUAUCAGUGGUAUUUAAAGCCAUGAGACUGAAUUAGGUCACCCAUUUAGGUAGUAUGGGUUGGUGAAUAAAAAGAGGCCUAGCCUCAAAUGCUGAGGCACUCCUAACUUUCACAAGUUAUUCAGAAAGGAAGAGGUAAAAAAUAAAUAAAUGAGAAAGCUGCUUUUUGGAAAAAUGGAGAGGGUUAAUGGGCACAAAAAGUAGAAAGAAUCAGUAAGACCUAGUAUUUGCUGUCACAGCAGAGUGACUAUAGUAAAAAAAAAUUAAUUAUAACUUUUAAAAUAACUAAAAGAAUAUAACUGGGUUCUUUGUAACACAAAGGAUAAAUGCUUGAAGAUAAUUUUCACGAUAAAAAUGCACCAUAAUUUGUUUAACCAGGUAUGAAUGGGUAUGUAGAUUUCUCCUCCAGUGUUUUGGGCAUACUAGUAACACUUCCUUGAAUGUCUUUUUAUAUUACUUUUAUGUAUUUGUGUAAGUAUACUGUAGGAUAAAUUCCCACAAGUAGAAUUGCUAUGACAGAAGGCUAUGUGUUUAAAUUGUUAUGGUUUCUGACAAAUACCUCUCCAAAGACAGUAUCCCAGUUUUUAUCCCCAUCAGCAAUGGAUGAUAAUGCUGGUUUUCCCAAAUCCUUGUCAACAGUCUUAAUCUCGGAUGGACUUUUAAGUGAGAAGUGAUGUCAUUUUUUUAUAGUUUCAAAACUGAAUGAGUUUGCAGACUUCUGUAUGUUUACUUAACUUUUGUGGUUUUUGUUCUUUGACUUACCUCUUCAUGUCCUCUGAUUUUUUUGGUAAUAAGUUUGUUGUCUGUUUUUCACUGAUUUGUUGUACCUCUUGAAUUGUUCUUUUUUAUAGGUGUUGCGAAUGUUUUCACUUGUCUUCUGAUUUCUGUUUAUGAUAUUUACAUUGUAGAAAUUUAAAAUUUUUAUUUAGGACUUCUAACAAAUGGCUUUUAGGGCUGGGCAUGUUGGAAUCCCAGCAUUUUGGGAGGCCGAGGUGGGUGGAUCACUUGAGACCAGGAGUUCAAGACCAGUCUGGCCAACAUGGUGAAACCCUGUCUCUACCAAAAAUGCAAAAAUUAGCUGGGCAUGGUGAUGCCUGCUUGUAAUCCCAGCUACUUGGGAGGCUAAGACAGGAGACUCUCGUGAACCUGGGAGGUGGGGGUUGUAGUGAGCCGAGAUCACACCACUGCACUCCAGCCUGGGGCAAAAAAGAAAAAAACACUUUUGACUUUUAUAUGAUAUUUUAGAAAGGCUUUUUCUAUUUAAGGAUUUUUUCACCCUAAUACUUUUAUGGUUUAAUUUGUAUAUUUUUUUUUGUCCCAGAUACCAACAUUUUUACCUUAUCAGAAUUAAUUCUGACACUCAUUUGAUGAAAAUUAAGAUAAUUUUGAAAAAGAAAAAUGAUGAGGAGGGAGUAAAAUUAGUCUUAGAAAGCUGUACAAUAAAAACAGUACAGUAUUGGCCGGGCGCAAUGGCUCACACCUGUAAUCCCAGCACUUUGGGAGGCUGAGGUGGACAGAUCACCUGAGGUCAGGAGUCUGAGAUCAGCCUAACCAACAUGGAGAAACCCCAUCUCUACUAAAAAUACAAAUUUAGCCAGGCGUGGUGGCACAUGUCUGUAAUCCCAGCUACUCAGGAGGCUGAGGCAGGAGAAUCACUUGAACCCAGGAGGAGGAGGUUGCAGUGAGCCAAGGUCACGCCAUUGCACUCCAGCCUGGGUGACAGAGCAAGACUCCAUCUCCAAAAAAAAAGUAGAUAAAAGAAAUAAGAUUGAAUGUAUUCUGAUCUUGGCCUAGAGAAGCUUUACAUCUAAAAGCAAAGGCAUCAAAAAUGUAUUUGCAUUGCUUACCCAUAUUUAUAGCUACAUUCACAAUAGCCAGAAGUUAGAAACAACCCAAUGUCCACUUAUAGAUGAAUAGAUCAGCAAAAUGUGAUAUAUACAUAAAUGGAAUAUUUGAGCUUUAAAAAGGAAAGUAUUGGCUCUGUAGAGAGCAUUGGAAAAGAAUUGUGACACAUGCCAUAGCGUGUCAGAACUUUGAAGUUAGUAUGCUAAGUGAAAUAACCUAGUCACACAAAAGGACAAAUGUCGUAUGAUUGCACUUGCACGAAGUACCUAGAAUAGUCACAUUCAUAGAGAUAGAAAGUAGUAGAAUGAUGAUUACCGGGAGCUGGGAAAAGUGGGAAAUGAGUUGUUAUUGUUAAAUGGGUUUCAGUUACGGAAGAUGAGAAAGUUCUGAAGGUAGAUGUAGUGAUGAUUGCCUAACAGUGUGGAUGUUACUCAGUGCCACAGAACUCGAAACAAUGCUUCUAGACUUACAGUGAUGUUACAUUCCAACUAAACAAUAGUUGAAAAAGUCAAAAAUGCGUUUAAUACAGCUAAUCUACUGAACAUCAUAGCUUAGACUUGCCUCUGUAAAUACUCAGCAUACUUAUGAUAGCCUGCAGUUGAAUAAAAUCAUCUAACAUGAGGUCUAUUUUAUAGUGAAGUGCUGAUCAUCUCGUGGUUGUUUACCCCUGUGGUCAUGUGGCUGUCUGGGAGCUGCCCAGCAUCACAAGAGAGUAUAAUACCACAUACCAUUAGCCUAGGAAAAGAUAAAAAUUCAAAAAUCAAAGUAUGGUUUCUAGUGAAUACGUAUCACUUUUGCACCAUUUAUAAAGUCCAAAUGUUAGUUGAACCAUUGUACGUUGAGAACCAUCUGUAUUUAAAUAUGGUUAAUAUGGUAAAUUUUGUGUGUGUGUGUGUGUGUGUGUGUGUAUACAUUUUUUUUUUUGAGAUGGAGUCUAGCUCUGUCCGGGCUGGAGUGCAGUGGCACAAUCUCAGCUCACUGCAACCUCCGCCUCCCAAGUUCAGGCAAUUCUCCUUCCUCAGUAUAUUAUGAAUAUUUAAUCACAAUUUAAAAAAAAUGCAACAAAAAUGACAGCAUAGGUUUUCCUCUUUUAUAAAUAAAUAGGAAAAUGAUUGCCACAGCAGAAAAAUGACCAAUGAUAUUAACAAAAAGUCUGAAAAACAAAAAUAAAGGAAUGGCUUAAGUAGAGUAGAAAAGGUUUUUGAACAUGAGAAGGAAAAGAACCUAAGUGUCCAGACUGAGAUGAGAUACAAACGUGAAACCAGGAUGGGGGCAGGAUUUGAGGUAGAGAUAAAGGCUGUGAGGGACAAAAAGUCAGUAAGAGGUAAAGUAACUAGAGAAAUGUAGAUGCUUGCUCUGAAAAAGAUGGAGUUGUUGCUUAAUGGCUUCCAAACCAUCAGAGUUACCUGAGGAACUUAAACUUUCUACUUUAGUAGACUGGUUUUAGAUUUACAGAAAAACUAUGAAGAUAGUACAGAGGUUUCCUGUAUACCUUUAUACCAGUUGCUUCUAGACUUACAAUGGUGUUACAUAAUAACAAUGGUUAUUAACAUCUUACAUUAGCAUGGUACAUUUGUCACAAAUAAAACAAUAUUAAUACAUGAUUGUUAACUGAAGUUCAUACUUUAUUUAGAUUUCCCUAAUUUUUACUGAAUGUCCUUUUUCUGUUCCAAGAUCCCAUCUAGGAUACCACAUUACAUUUAGUUAUGUCUCCUUAGCCUUCUCUUGGCAUGACUGUUCCUGAGACUUUUCUUGUUCUUGAUGAACUUGACAGUGUUAAGGAGUAUGGUGAGGUAUGUGUAGGAUGCUCCACUGUUAGAAUUUGUCUUAAGUUUUUCUCACGAUUAGGCUGGGGUUACGGCUUUGAGGAGGAGGAUCACGGAGGUAAAAUAAUCAUUUUUAUUACAUCUUACCAAGGGUACAUACUAUCAACAUGACUUAGCACUAUUACUAUUAACCUUGAUCACAGUAUUUUUCAGGUUUCUCCACAGUACAGUAACUUUUUUUCUCCUCUUUCCACAUUGUAUUCUUUGGAAGAAAGUUACUCUGCCCAGCCCAUAUUUACAUGCUCUUCCUCCUUGAGAGGAGAUGUCUACAUAAACUAUCUGCAGUUCUUCAUGGAAGAUUUAUUGUCUCAAUUAUUCCAUUUACUAAUCAGUGUGGACUUACAGAUGUUGAUAUCUUGGGUUAUAAUCCAAUACUACUAUAUUCUGUUUCUCAGUUUUUUUCUGGCAUUGUCUGUUGGAACCCCUUUCAGUUUGCAUCUGUAUGCCUUUGACAUAUAACUAUUAUUUAUGUAUACAUUUUGAGUAGUUACUCACUUGCUGGGAGUGCAAAACUGUUAUUUAUGUAUACAUUUUGAGUAGUUACUCACUUGCUGGGAGUGCAAGAUUUUCCAGACUCAUCUUUUGUCUCCUGCCCUGGCCUAGGAUCAGCCAUUUCUCCUUUUACUGAGAAAGGUUAAUAACCAAGUUCUGCAUUUUAGGUGUGCUUCUUACUACUGAGGUGUUGCUGCUUGUGGGUUCUCUCCAGCUGACAUAGGAAGGAAAUAUAUGUGUAUAUUACUAACUUUAUAUGCAUAUAAUUUUAUAUGUAAUUACUUGUAUGUGUAUUAAACUGAGCAUGAGUUUAUAUUCAUAUUUCCAGCUGUAAUCCAUUACCACAUUCUAGCCUUCCUCCUGUCUUGUAUAUCUGUAACCUCUCACUCCAACAGUGAGAAAUUUGGCUUCCAUUUACCAUCCAUUUAUUAAUAUUUGAUUGUUCAUUUCCUCUAUACAUGUUAUAGUAGUUUCAGAUUUUUUAAAAAAUUAUUUGAGAGAGAGUCUUGCUCUGUCACCUAGGCUAGGGUACAGGGGCACGAUCAUAGCUUACUGCAGCCUCAAACUCCUGGGCUCAAGUGAUCCUCCUGCCUCAGUCUCCCAAGUAGCUGGGACUACAGAUGUGUACCACCACACCCAGCUCAUUUUAAAAUAUUUUUGUAGUUUUGCCUGGUGGCUUAUACCUGUAAUCCCAGCAUUUUGGGCAGAUCAUUUGAGCUCAGAAGUUUGAGACCAGCUUGGGCAACAUGGUGAAAUCUCAUCUCUGCCAAAAAUACAAAAUAUUAUCUGGGCAUGGUGGUGUGAGUCUUUGGUCCCAGCUACUUGGGAGGCUGAGGCAUGAUCACAGCUCACUGCAACCUGCUACCGGGACCCAGGUGAUCCUCCUGCUUCAGCCUCCUGAGUAGCUGGGACCACAGACUGUGCCACUGCACCUGGCUAAUUAAAAAACUAUUUUUUAGAGAUAGGUCUCGCUGUGUUGCUUAGGCUGGUCUUAAACUCCUGGCCUCAAAUGAUCCUCCUACUUUGGCCUUCCAGAGUGCUGGGAUUAUAGGCAUGAGCCACCUGUGCCCAGCCUAAACUAUUUUAAGUAUACAAUCCCCAGUGAGUUUUUUUUUUUUCCUGUAUAUUCACAAUGAUGUGCAACUGUUGCCACUGCCUGAUUCCAAAAUACUUCCAUCACCCAAAAGAAACCCUUGUAACAAUUAAGCAGUUACUCCAUGGUUUCUCAGUUCCCUGGCAAGCACUGGUGGAGCUUUCUAAAAAGGGUUUUGUCACUACUCUCAAAUACUCCAAUUCAGUACCUCUGAAAAUGAAGCGAGGGAUCUGUAUCUUUUUAAAAAAGUAUUCUACUUGCUUCUGGUAACCAGGCAAGUAUGUAUUAUCAAGUGUUUUGAGCCUAAAAAUGUACAGCUUAUUAAAUUUGAGAGUAUAUUGUAAUGUUCUAGAAGCAGUUAUAGGUAUCAAGCAGUACCUCAUCAUAGCUAAAAGCAAUGCCAACACAAUUUGAUUUUCUUUAAGAGUCAGCUUAGGGUUGAAAUGAAAAAAAGAAAUCAUUUUAUAAACUGUUAGUUUGUUGCAUGCAUGUUUAGAUUUCAGAUAAAUUUAAUCUGUAGUCGGUAUUCAUUCAUCACUCAGUUUUGGUAUAUUUUGUUCUCCUUGUUUUCUCCUAGUUUUUGUUUUUUGUUUUUGUGGAGAUGAGGUCUUACUGUGUUGCUUAGGCUAGUUUUGAACUCCUGGGCUCAAGUGAUCCUCUCACCUUGGCCUUAGGGUGUGUGUUUCCUUAAAUUUUUUUUUUUAAAGUCUGUUUACCUUAGUUCAGUCAGAAGGAAGCUAUCCUUCUCAAUGACCUCCGAUACCUUAGUAAAAAUGAACUUUUAAAGAAUGGGUACUGAUUGCCCAGUAUGUAGCCAUGGUCAUGCUAAGUAUCUCUGAAAACUUAGUUGGGAAAGAUUUGUAGACAGACUUUAACUUUGAUUCCUUUUUUUUUUUUUUUUUCAAUUUCUGUUUUUAAUUGAAAAAUGAUUAUAUAUAGUUACGGGAUACUAUGUGAUGUGUUGAUAUAUUUAUACAUAUGGAAUGAUUAUACCAAGCUAAUUAACACAUUUGUUACCUCUCGUACUUACAUAUUUUGUUGUAGUGAGAACAUUUAAAUAUUUAUUUACAAUUUUUUUUUUUUUAAGAGACAAGGUCUCACUUUGUUGCCCAGGCUGGAGUACAGUGACUCAAUCAUAGCUCACAGCAAGCCAUCUUCCUGCUUCAGCCUCCCAAGUAGCUGUGACUACAGAGGCAUACAGCCACACCCAGCUAAUUUUUUUUCCUUCAGCUUUUAAGUUACGGGGUACAUGUGCAGGAUGUGCAGAUUCGUUAUUUAGGUAAACGUGUGCCAUGUUCGUUUGCUGCACAGAUCAACCCAUCCCCUUGGUAUUAAACCUCGCAUCCAAUAGCUGCUAGUCUUCCUUAUGCUCUCCUUCCUCCAGCCUCUCCCUCCUAAGGGCCUCUGUGUGUGUUCCCCACCCACCAUAUAUCCAUGUGUUCUUAUUGUUGGGCUCACCCAAGUGAGAACAUGUGGUGGUUGGUUUUCUGUUGCCAAGUUAGUUUGCUGAGUAUAACAGUUUCCAGCUCCAUCCGUGUCUCUGCAAGGGACAUGAUUGCUUUCCUUUUUAUGGCUGCAUAGUACUCCGUGGUGUAUAUAUACCACAUUUUCUUUAUGCAGUCUAUUGUUGAUGGGCGUUGAGGUUGAUUUCACAUCUUUGCUAUUGUGAAUAGUGCUGCAGUGAACAUGCACAUGCAUGUAUCUUUAUAAUAGAAUGAUUUCUAUUCCUUUGGGUGUAUACCUAGUAAUGAGAUUGCUGGGUCAAAUGGCAUUUCUGCUUCUAGAUCUUUGAGGAAUCACCACACUGUCUUCCACAAUAGGUGAACUAAUUUACACUCCCACUGACCGUGCAAAAACAUUUCUUUUUCUCUACAACCUUGCCAGCAUCUGUUUCUGGACUUUCUGACUGGCAUGAGAUGGUAUCCCCUUGUGGUUUUGAUUUGCAUUUCUUUAAUAAUCAGUGAUGUUGAGCUUUUUUCAUGUUUGUUUGGCCACGUGAAUGUCUUUUGAAAAAUGUCUAUUCAUGUCCUAUACCCACUUUUUAAUAUACUUUUUAAUGGGGGCAGUUUCUUUUCUUGUAAAUUUAAGUUCCUUGUAGACUCCAGAUAGUAAACCUUAGUCAAAAUGGACAGAUUGCGAAAAUUUUCUCCUAUUCUCUAGGUUGCCUGUUCACUCUGAUGAUAGUUUCUUUUGUUUGCUGUAUACAGAAUCUCUUCAGUUUAAUUAGAAUCCCAUUUGUCAAUUUUUGCUUUUGUUGCUGUUGACAUUUUCAUCAUGAACUCUUUGCCUCUGCCUAUGUUUGGAAUGAUAUUACCUAGAUUUUCUUCUAGGAUUUUUAUAGUUUUGGGUUUUACAUUUAAGCCUUUAAUCCAUCUUAAUUGUUGUAUAAGUUGUAAAGAAGGGGUCCAGUUUCAAUUUUCUGUAUAUGGCUAGCCAGCUCUCCCAGCACCGUUUAUUAAAUAGGUAAUCCUUUCCCCAUUUCUUGUUUUUGUCAAGUUUCUCAAAGAUCAGAUGAUUGUGUGUGUGCCUUCUUAUAUUUGAGUUCUCUAUUUUGUUCAGUUGGUCUGUGUGUCUGUUUUUGUAUCAGUACCAUGAUGUUUGGGUUAUUGUAGCCUUGUAGUACAGUUUGAAGUUGGGUAACAUGAUUCCCACCUUUGUUUGUUUUCCUUAAGAUUUUCUUGGCUAUACAGGCUCUUUUUUGGUUCUGUAUGAAUUUUAAAGUAGCCUUUUCUAAUUAUGUGAAGAAUGUCAACAGUAGUUUAAUGGAAAUUCCAUUGAAUCUAUAAAUUACUUUGGGCAGUAUAGCCAUUUUCACAAUAUUGAUUCUUCCUAUCCAUGAGAAUGAAAUGUUUUUUGAUUUGUUUGUGUCCUCUCUUAUUUCCUUGACCAGUGAUUUGUACUUCUCCUUGAAGAGGUCCUUCACUUCCCUUAUUAGCUGUAUUCCUAGGUAUUUUAUUCUCUUUGUAGCAAUUGUGAAUGGGAGUUCAUUCAUGAUUUGCCCUGUUUGCCUGUUGUUGCUGUAUAGGAAUGCUAGUGAUUUUUUCACAUUGAUUUUAUAUCCUGAGACUUUGCUGAAGUUGCUUAUCAGCUUAAGAAGCUUUGGGGCAGAGACAAUGUGAUUUUCUAGAUAUAGGAUCAUGUCUUCUGCAAACAAAGAUAAUUUGACUUACUCUUUUCCUAUUUGAAUACAGUUUAUUUAUUUCUCUUGCCUGAUUGCCCUGGCCAGAACUUGCAAUACUGUGUUGAAUAGAAAUGGUGAGAGAGAGGGGAUCCUUGUCUUGUGCCAGUUUUCAAGGAGAAUGCUUCUAGAUUUUGCCCAUUUAGUAUGAUAUUAGCUGUGGAUUUGUCAUAUAUGGCUCUUAUUAUUUUGAGAUAUGUUCCUUCAAUACUUAGUUUGUUGAGAGUUUUUAACAGGAAGGAAUGUUAAAUUUUAUGAAGGCCUUUUCUGCAUCUAUUGAGAUAAUCAUGUGAUUUUUGUCUUUAGUUCUGUUUAUGUGAUGAAUUACAUUUAUUGAUUUGUGUAUGUUGAACCAACCUUGCAUCCCAGGAAUGAAGCCAACUGGAUCAUGGUGAAAAGCUUUUCGAUGUGCUACUGGAUUUGGUUUACCGGUAUUUUAUUGAGGAUUUUUGCGUCAGUGUUCUUCAGGGAUGUUGGCCUGAAGUUUUGUUUUUGUUGUGUCUCUGCCAGGUUUUGGUAUCAGGUUGAUGCUGGCCUUAUAGAAUGAGUUAGGGAGGAGUCUCUCCUUUUCAGUUUUGGAAUAGUUUCAGUAGAAAUGGUACCAGCCCUUUGUACCUCUAAUAGAAUUCAGCUGUAAGUUUGUCUGGUCCUGGGCUUUUUUUGAUUGGUAGGCUAUUAUUGCCUCUAUUUCAGAACUCAUUAUUGGUCUAUUCAGGCAUUCAGUUUCUUCCUGGUUCAGUCUUUGGAGGGUGUAUGUGUCCAGAAUUUACCCAUUUCUUCUAGAUUAUCUUUGUGCAUUGAGUCUAUGUGCAUAGAGAUGUUUAUAGUAUUCUCUGAUGGUUGUGUUUCUGUAGAGUCAUUGGUGAUAUCCCCAUUGACCAUUUCUGAUUAUGUCUAUUUGACUCUUCUCUCUUUUCUUCUGAGUCUAGCUAGCAGUCUGUUUUAUUAAAAUUUUUCAAAAAACCAACUCCUGGAUUUCUUGGGGUUUUUUCUUUUUUGGUUUUUUUUUUUUUUUUUGAGACGGAGUUUCGCUCUUGUUAUCCAGGCUAGAGUGCAAUGGUGCAAUCUUGGCUCACCACAACCUCCGCCUCCUGGGUUCAGGCAGUUCUCUUGCCUCAGCCUCCCGAGUAGCUGGGAUUACAGGCACGUGCCACCAUGCCCAGCUAAUUUUUUGUAUUUUGAGUAGAGACGGGGUUUCACCAUGUUGACCAGGAUGGUCUCGAUCUUUUGACCUUGUGAUCCACCCACCUCAGCCUCGCAAAGUGCCGGGAUUACAGGCUUGAGCCACCACGCCCGGCCAGGUUUUUUUUAAAGGAUUUUUCUGUGUCUCUGUCUCCUUCCGUUCAGCUCUGAUCUUGGUUACGUCUUGUCUUCUACUUGCUUUGGUGUUUGUUUGCUCUUGGUUCUUUAGUUCUUUUAAUUGUGAUGUUAGGUUGUUAAUUUGAUAUCUUCCUAGCUUUUUGAUGUGGGCAUUUAGUGCUAUAAAUUUCCUUCUUAACGCUGUUUUAGCUGCAUCCCAGAGAUUAUGGUAUGUUGUCUCUUUGUUCUCAUUAGUUUCCAAGAACUUCUUGAUUUCUGCCUUAAUUUUAUUAUUUGCCCAGGAGUCAUUCAGGAGCAGGUUGUUUCAUUUACAUGUAGUUGUAUGGUUUUGAGUGAAUUUCUUAGUCUUGAGUUCUCAUUUGUGCUGUUUUCUUAGAGUUUGUUGUAAUUUUAGUUCUUUUGCAUUUGCUGAAGAUGAGUGUUUUAUUAAUACUUCUGAUUAUGUGAUCAAUUUUAGAGUAAGUGUCAUGUGGUGAUGAGAAGAAUACAUAAUCUGUUUUCGGGUGGAGAGUUCUGUAGAGAUAUCAGGUCUGCUUAAUCCAGAGUUGAGUUUAGGUCCUGAGUAUCUUUGUUAAUUUUCUGUGUCUGUGAUCUGUCUAAUAUUGUCAGUCGGGUGUUAAAGUCUGCCACUAUUAUUAUGUGUGAGUCUAAGUCUCUUUGUAGGUCUCUAAGAACUUGCUUUAUGAAUCUGGGUGCUCCUUUAUUGGGUGCAUAUAUAUUUAGGAUAAUUAGCUCUUCUUGUUGAAUUGAACCCUUUAUGUUAUGUAAUGCCUUUCUUUGUCUUUUUUGAUCUUUGUUGUUUUAAAGUCUUGUUUUGUCAGAAACCAGGAUUGCGACCCCUGCUUUUUUCUGUUUUCCAUUUGCUUGGUAAGUUUUUCACCAUCCCUUUAUUUUGAGCCCAUGUGUAUCUUUGCACUUCAGUGGUCUCUUGAAGACAGCAUACCGAUGGGUCUUGAUCCUUUAUACAUUUUGGCAUUCUGUGUCUUUUAAUUGGGACAUUCAGCCCAUUUACAUUUAAGGUGAAUAUUGUUAUUAGUGAAUUUGAUCCUGUCAUCAUGAUGCUAGUUAUUUUGCAGACUUGUUUAUGUGGUUGCAUCAUAGUGUCACUGGUCCAUGUACUUCAGUGUGUUUUGUAGUAGCAGGCAGUGGAAAGGAAAGUUUUUCCUUUCCAUAUUUAGUGCUUCCUUCAGGAGCUCUUGCAAGGCAGUGAUGAAUACUCUCAGCAUUUGCUUAUCUAAAAUGAAUCUUAUUUCUCCUUUAUGAAGCUUAGUUUGGCUGGAUAUACAAUUCUAGAUUGGAAGUUCUUUAAGAAUGUUCAGGCUGGGAGCGGUGGCUCAUGCCUGUAAUGCCAGCACUUUGGGAGGCCAAGGUGGGUGGAUCAGCUGAGGUCAGGAGUUCAAGACCAGCCUGAGCAACAUGGCAAAACCCCAUCUCUACUAAAAAUACGAAAAUUAACCAGGUGUAGUGGCACGCACCUGUAAUCCCAGCUACUUGGGAGGCUGAGGCAAGAGAAUCACUUGAACCCAGGAGGUGGAGGCUGCAGUGAGCCAGGGUUGUACCAUUGCACUUCAGCCUGGGCAAGAAGAGUGAAAUGCCAUCUCAAAAAAGAAUGUUGAAUAUUGGUCCCCAAUUUUUCUGGCCAGUAGGGUUUCCACUGAGAGGUCCACUGUUAGUCUGAUGGGUUUCCCUUUGUAGGUGACCUGGCCUUUCUCUCUGGCUGCCCUUAGCAUUUUUUCUUUUGUUUCAACCUUGGGAGAAUAUGAUGAUGAUGUGUCUGGGAUUGAUCAUCUUACUGGGGUUCUCUGGAAUUCCUGAAUUUGAAUGUUGGCGCAGUUUUCCUGGAUAAUAUCCUGAAGUAUGUUUUCCAAUUUGAUUAUAUUCUCCUCAUCUCUUUCAGGUACCCCAACUGGUUAUAGGUAUGGUCUUUUUACGUAGUCCCAUAUUUCUCAGAGGUUUUGUUCAUUGCUUUUCAUUCUUUUUUCUCUAUUGUCUGCCUUAUUUCGAAAAGAUAGUCUUCAAGCUCUGAGAUUCUUUCCUCUGCUUGGUCUAUUUUGCUAUUGAUACUUGUGGUUGCAUUGUGAAUUUCUCAUGUUGUGUUUCUCAGCUCCAUCAGGUCAAUCAUGCUCCUCUCUAAAAUGGCUCUUCUGUUUAGAAGCUCCUCUGUUUUAUCACAAUUUUUAGCUUCUCUGCAUUGGGUUACAACAUGUUCCUUUAGCUCAGCAGAGUUCAUUAUCAGCCACCAUCUGAACCCUACUUCUGUCAGUUCAGCCAUCUCAACCUCAGCCCAGUUCUGUGCCCUUGCUGGAGAGGUGUUGUGGAUAUUUGUGGAGAAGAGGCACUCUGGCUUCUUGAGUUUCCAGCAUUUUUUGUGUUGAUUAUUUCUCAUUAUUGUGGGCUUAUCUACCUUCGAUUUUUGAGGUUGCUGAUCUUUAAGUGGGGCUUUUAUGGUGUCUUUUUUGUUGAUGCUGCUGCUGCUGCUGCUGCUGUUGUCUAUUUGCUUUUCUUUUAACAGUCAGGCCACUUUUCCAUAGGGCUGCUGCAGUUUGAUGGGAGAUUGCUCCAGACUCUAGUUGUCUUGGUUUUUCCCUUACCUGUAUGUAUAUCACCAGUGAAGGCUGUGAAACAGCAAAGAUAGCAGACUGCUCCUUCCUCUUGGAGCUCCAUCCCUGGGGGUAGUACUGACCUGUUGCCAGCCUGGAUGCUCCUGUAGGAGACGUCUGGUGAUCCCUGUUGGGUAGUCUCACCCAGUCAGGAGGAACAGGAUCAGGGACCUGCUUAAAGUAGUAGUCUGGCUGCUUUUUGGUAGAUAAGGUGUGCUGCAUUAGGGGUAACCCUUCCUUUCCCAGACUGCCUGGACUCUCCAGAGCCAGCCAGCUAGGAAGGCUGAGCCAACUGAACCACAGAGAUGUUGGCAGCUCCUCUCCCACUGAGGGCUUCAUCCCAGGGAGAGAUCAGAGUACUGUUCAUGUAACACUGGCUAAAGCUGAAAUUCCCACAGGGAGGUCCCACCCAGUGAGGAGGGAUGGAUUGGGGUCCCAUUUAAAAAAGCAGUCUGGCCAUGUUCUGGCACAGCACCUGUGCUGCCUUGUGAGGGACUCAUCAUCAGGACUGCCUGGAUUCUUGGGAACAGGCUAGAACAGCUGAGUCGACUGAACUGCAGAAAUGGCAGCUGCCCCUCCUCCUGGGAACUCAUCCAUUUCAGGCAGUCUCUAGCCUGUUGCACUGGUUGGCUAGAAUUCAAAGCCAGUGGGUUGAGGUGCCAUGGGAAUGAGGCCCGCAGAACGACACUGGUUCCCAGGAUUCAGCCCCUUCCUAGGGGAGUGUACAGAUGGGAAUCCCAGCAAGGUGGGAGAUCAAGGCUGGAGUCUGUAAAACUCCUGGGUUUCUGUGUAAGCCUGAGCAACUGCUCUGCCAAGACUCCACACAGCUCUGUAUAUUGAGCCUAAGGCCCUGGUGGCCUGGGUUCACAAGGGGAUCUCCUGAUCCGCGGGUUGUGGAGAUUCAUUGGAGAAGUGUGGUUUCCUGGGUGAGGUUACACAAUCACUCAAGGGAAGCCAAGCUUCCCUUGGCUGGGGAUGGGGGUUCCUUUGGCUCCUCAAUGUUCCUGGGUGAGCCAUUGGAAAAAGCCAGGCUUUUCCUGGGGAAAAGCCCCACCUUGCUUUUUUUGUUCUCCAUGGAUCAUGACAUCUUCCUAGUAAGUCCCAUUGUGAGAACCUGGACAUUUCAAUUGAAGGUGCUGAAUUCACUUGCUAUUUUCAUUCUUCUCUGUGAGGGUCACAGACUGCAGCUGUUUCUAUUCUGCCAUCUUGGCUCUUCCUGCCUCCUCCUCGUCUUACAGGUGGAAGCUGAGGAAUAAUCCCAGUGCUUUGUGAAACUGCUGUGAAGAAUUUUCAGGUCAAACUUAAGUUGGAAGAUAGUGACUAGAGCAAAGAGAUGAAAGCAUUUAAUUUUUUUUUUCCUCCUUGAUGGAGUCUUGCUCUGUCACCCAGGCAGGAGAGCAGUGGUGCAGUCUCGACUCACUGCAGCCUCCACCCAGGUUCAAGCAAUUCUUCUGCCUCAGCCUCCAGAGUAGCUGGGAUUACCAGUGUGUGCCACCAUGCCUGGCUAAUUUUUUAUAUGACCAACACAUUUAAAGCAUUGAUUCUGAGGGUCUAGAAUGCACUAAGUGCUGCAAGACUGUAAAGUGAUCUCAGAAUAGACUGUCAUUCUUAACGGAAUGCUUCUGUAGAUAUUCCCUUGUAUUAUGUAUGUGCAGUCUUCAUGUCUGUAGCAUGCAGAUUUGCAAAUUCUAUUUCUGUUCUCCAUAGUCCUCGAGGCCACACUGGUAACUAGAGGUGUUUUUUUCUCUCACUUUGCAAAUAAUCUGAGUUGUCUUUCUCUAUUCUUGGAUUCCCUGCCUCCCAUUCUCCCUCCUUUUGUUAAUGUUCAGUAGUUUUUCUUCCAGAGAAAUGGUCUCAAGCCUUCUUUCCUUUUUGAUCACUUGAUCAGCUUUUCAAAAGCUCCUCUUUUUUUUGAGACAGUCUUGCCCUGUCACCCAGGCUGGAGUGCAGUGACACUAUCUUGGCUCAGUGCAGCCUCUGUCUUGCUGGUUCAAGCAGUUCUUGAGCCUUACCUUCCUGAGUAGCUGGGACUACACCUGCAUGCCACCAUGCCCCAUUAGUAGAGAUGGGGUUUCACCAUGUUGCCCAUACUGAACUCCUGAGCUCAGGCAAUCUGCCUGCCUCGGCCUCCCAAGGUGCCAAAAUUACAGGUGUGAGCCAUCUCACCCAGCCAAAACCUCUUUUUGACAAAGUUCAGCCUCAUCCUGUAGGUGAUUUUGUACUCUCUGCUAAGAUAAAGUUUUUUCCAAAUUGUUAGCCUCAGAUGAAGAGCAAUUCAUAAACAAAAAAAGAACUAUUGUACUGAGAAGUCUGUCAAAAAAGACUAGUUGCAUUGCAGUUACCUCAGCUUUCAAGAAGGAUGUUUAUCUGUGUAUCAUUGCCAUUGUCUUGAGUUGUGUUUUUUGAUUCUGCUGGUCUUGUUAUUAUAACUUAGCAUUAGUUUAGUGUCCUUGCUAAGAUAAUAACAUUAGUUUAAGACAAAGAUAGGUCACACUCCACACCAGUAGGUGAACAUUUCUGUUGGGCACAUAUCUUUGUAUGAUAGAAAGUUUUAGCUUUGGUUAUAAUUUUGACUGAGAAAACAAACAAACACCAUUCUUUUUUUUUGAGACUGGGGCUGGCUCUGUCAGCCAGGUUGGAGUAGCUCUGCUGCCCAGGCCAAAGUGCAGUGGUGCGAUCUCAGCUUACUGCAACCUCUGCCUCCCAGGCUCAAGCAGUCCUCCCACCUCAGCCUCCCCAGUAGCAGGGCUUAUAGGUACACAUCACCAUAGCCAGCUAACUUUUUAAUUUUUGUAGAGACAGGGUUUUGCCCAGACUGGUCUCAAAGUUCUGAGCUCAAGCAAUCUAUCCUCCUCAGCCUCUCAAAGUGCUUGGAUUACAGGUGGGAGCCACUGAUACAGCCCAAACUCGGUUUUUAAGGUGCUUAUACUUAAGGGGAGAAAAAGGCAUAUGUACAUGUUCUCACCCAAAUGUUUAGUUUACACUGGAGUUUUUGAUGUACCUAUAUUUUGGUACCUUAGAAUAGCAACCAGAAUGUUUUGCCUUCAUUAUAAACAGAAUUAUUUAGAAAUUGCAGUGAUAUUAAACAAUAUAUUUUUAGUAUCCCUUCAAUGAUCCCAAGUAGUAAUGCCAUUUAAAAAAACACUGAGAGAAUACUUGGUUAUUUUGUUUUAGAAGAAUAUACAUUUUGCUACUGUAAAUUAGAGUGGAAAACUGUCUAAUAGCAUACAUUUAGAGAAUGUUAAUCCUGGAAGUCACUGUUCGAUAAAUACAUAGACUCUGGUCUGUAAGGAACAAAAACACAUUUUAAGGGAGGAAACAUCUUUGAAGGCAGAGUAGAAUCUGUAAACUGCAUCAUUUAGCUGUUGGAUAACAGAGUCUACAGUAGAGCUUGCAGCUGGUUGGCUUAAACAGAAAAGUAGCCCUGAACAAGUAUUAAUACCUCUGUGCAGCCCUUAGGGCACAGAAAUUGAAGUGCAGGCAGUCUAAUAGCCACCAAGACUGUUAUACAAAGAAUGGAGGAAUAUGAAGAACUCUGAGCCACAUGAAAAUACCACCAAGUACUUUCAUUUAGAAAGUGACUGUACCACAAUGCAUCAUUGCCCAUCCCCUCUCACCCCUAGCCACAUAUGAGAGUUCCAGUUUCUCACCAGCGUUUGGUCUUCUAGAUCUUUAUUUUAACCAUUCUGGUGGAUGACAUCUCAUUGUUUUUAUUAUUUUAAAAAUUUAAUUGACACAUAAUAUUUGUACAUAUUGUGGGAUACAUCUGAUGUUUUCUUAUAUGUAUAGAACAUAUGAUCAAAUCAGAUUAUUUAGGAUUUUAUCACUGAGUAUUUGUCAUUUCUGCUUUAGGAACAUUUCAGGUUUUUACUAACUAUUUUGAAAUAUGUAAUAUUGUUAAUUAUAGUCACUCUACUAUGCUGUCAAACAUUAGAACUUAUUUUUUCUAUCUAUGUUUGUACCCAUUAACCGUCCUCUCGUCAUCCCCCACCCUCCACACAUACCCUUUCUAGUCUCUAUUAGCUGUCAUUCCUUCUACCUUCAUGAGAUCAACUUUUUUAGCUCUCACAUAUGAAUGAGAACAUCUCAUUAUUAAUUUUCCUGGGGACUAAUGAGGUUGUACAUCUUUUCCUGUGCUUAUUUGCAAUUCAUAAUAUGUUCUUUGCUGAACCGUUAAAAGCUUCUACUCACUUUUAAACUGGGUUUAUCUUAUUGAUUCAUAAGAAUUAUUUAUAUGUCCUUUAGAGUUAUGUAAGUCCUUUAGAGUGAUAUAAUUUGGAUAUAAGUCCUUUCGAAUUAUAUAAUCUAGAUAUAAGUCUUUUAUAAAGACAUGAUUUGCAAGUAUUUUCUCCCAAUAUGGCUGGCUUUUCAUUUUCUUAACAUAUUAACAGGGUCAUUUAAAGAGCAGAAGUUUUUGUGAUGUCUAAUUUAUCCAUUUUUUUGCUUUUAUAAUUUUUCUUUUUGUUGCUUAUUUAAGAAAUAUUUGUCUAAUCCAAGGCCACUAAAUACUCUGUUUUCUGCUGGAAUUUGUGUAGUUUUAGCUCAUAAAUUUAGAUUUACGAUGUAUUUUGAGGUAAUUUUUCUCUGUGAAGUGUCAAGGGUUUUUUUUUUUCUUUUGUUUUGCAUUUGGAUAUACAGUUGUUCCAAGAUCAUUUACUGGAAGAAAUAUAUCCUUUCCUCAGUGAAUUACAUUGACAAAUUUGUUGAAAAUCUGUUCGACGCAUAUGUGUAGAUCUGUUUCUGGACUUUUCAUUCUGUUCCAUUAAC